CGAACAUGCUAACGUUUAAUCAAUUCACAGUGUUUAAUCAAUUCCUUGCCCCAAUUGGUCUUGAUUUUUUAGUUUGGGACAGUCUAAAAAACAGACACCACCCUCCAAACUCUUUAAAUGUGUAAAUGCAUGUGGGGAAAGCCAAAACUUUACUUUCUGUCAUGCCUAAUUACAGACACAAAGCUAUGAUUGAAUCCUAGUUUGAGGGAAGGGUUUAGCCUUAUUUUUCGGACAGAAAAAGCAUCAGCUGAAUGGUGUAAUUAGUUAAUUUAUUCAACUUAAUUCCUUGGGUUCAAGGCAAGAUGAAUUCAUUUUGGUCUCAUCCUUUUUAUCGCUGAAAUUUAAAAACUUAUUCCAAUAGUAUGGAAAAACUAAAUUGCUGUAAUUGCCACAGAGCAAAACUGACAGUGUUCAUUUUUCAGUGUUAAUUGAAAUCAACAGAGUUCAGAGUUAUUUUAACACUUUAUCAAAACUAAUACCUCAAGUGUUAGUAGGUGUGGAUUUUGAUUGUUUCAAAAAUUUUCACACUCCAAGUGUUAAAUUGACCACACUUUCAUUUCCAGUGAAGAAAUGCCCUCCAGAAUCUGUGGUCGCCAUUUUUCUUACUGCGGUGCCUAUAUACCGACUGUGGGGUGAACUUGGAAGCCUACAACCGGAGAGCACAUUUGGGCCGAACAGGACAGGCACAGCAUGGGAGAGAGGAGACAAAGUGCUGGCAAAAUUCAAGCCAGGUUUUACUUCCUUGAUCCUGAAGGAUUCUGCAGGAGUGGAAGAGGAUUUAGACAUAUUUGAUUAACUUUUGAAGUCAUCUGAGGUGUCUUUCAAGGCCUUCACUGAAGAGUGCAAUGGUAAGAAAUUGCAGCCUUGUAUUUCUCUCAAAAUUAGUUGUUUAAUGUAAUAAUUUGUAGCUAAUGUAUCUGUUAUUAAUCUUGUAAACUGAAUUUUACAGCACAAGUGUAUGUGUAUGAAUCUUUCAUUUAGUUAUGUUGUGGAUGUGUACUACCUCUGUACAUACUGUGGCAACAAAUUUCCUUGAGGGACCAUAAAGAAUCUAUCUAUCUAUCUAUCUAUCUAUCUAUCUAUCUAUCUAUCUAUCUAUCUAUCUAUCUAUCUAUCAAAGCUGUGUGUGCAUUCUUAGACAACAGUGUCAAGGAGUCUUCUUCAGAGGGUUCAUCUUUCACAGAGUGGUCUCCAUCAUGUGUAUCCAAAGGGUCAUCAUCGAGUUCAGAUUCAACAAUAAUACUUGAAUCUACCAAAGCUCGGAAAAAACAGCUGAUUGAAGGACCCACUGACAUCAACAUUGGAAGAGAUGUAAAUUAUCUUUAAACUAGGGUCUGAUAUGUUUUAACUGAAGCUGUUGAUAGCUGAUAGCUUUUGUACCAAUACUCAAUAUCUUUAAAUUUGAAAAUCACCAAAAAACAAAACAAGAAUACAGCUCAUGAUGAAAUGAUCAAAUGGAACGUUUUCCAUGAAAGGUCAACCAGCUGGUGAGGAAAGACAUGGACACACCAAUAUCCAAUACUCCUAAAAUGCUCAUAUCAGCCCUGAUAUAUUGGUCUAAACCUACAUUAAAACAUUACCUUGUUGUCACAUUUCAAUGAUGCAUCUGUCUCUUAUCAGGAGAAUCCCUCCCAUAAAUGUCCGCAUCACAUACGCACUUGGCAUUACAACCUUGCUCGCAAACUUGAAGGACCUGGAUUCAAAGAAUAGUUAUGUAUGUAUUGACAUUAAGAUACAUCCAUGCUGUCAUUACUUUAUGAAAGCAUUGAUUAUGCUGCUGUCUUUUCCCAUGGUGCAGUCGAGGGCAUCAUAUUAUGAGGCUAAUUCAGAUCAGUCAGUCAUUUAGGCAGUUAUCUGUCUCUUUGUCAGAUGGCCUCUAGAGGGCAUCUUUGACUGUGAGAUGUAGUGUUUCCCAGACAGUAGGACAAUGUAUAAAAAUUGAUCUAAAUUGAUCUCUAAUGCGUCUGGCGUCAUAUCACGUCAUGCCUGUCAUUUGGAGAUGCAUAGACAGCAGCACUGAACUCAAUCCAACAGUCUCCUGCUGUGAAAACCAAAGUCAUACUUAACAUUCCACAAUUUGCUCCAAACUGGCCUGUGUUAGUAAUAGGAUUUGUAAACAGUAACCUGAUAACUCUUCUCCUGCCCUACAAACGUAAAUGGCAGGUAACGUUAUUACCUUGUGCUAUUUAAGUAACUUUAUUGGAAUUGUUUAACCCAUGAUCAUGCCAUAGUGCUUCAGUGCAUUGAAUUGAACACACAUGCCACAGGUCUGUUUAGGAUCUGUGGUUGUUCUCAAACAAGUAAGAGAUUAACCUUUUUUCUUUUAAUCAGUAGGAACAUUUCUGUGAUCACCAGACUGGUUCCAGUUACCUGGCAUGAGGGUUGAAAACUGUCCAGCGCAACUCUGCUCAAGAGAUCAAGAAACCCAAGACCACUUUUCAAGAUGGCCCUAAGACUCAUCGCAGCAUGUGUUCAAUUGUGAGGCAGUUGUCAGAUGAUGAAUGCAAGGAAACAAUGUGGGUGAUGAGGCACUCAACUGACACGACCCUUGUCAAAGACAAAAUGAAGGCAACAUUUCAGCACAGACAAAAGGUGGUUCAAGACCCAACCACAGCAUCCACUGUCCUAGACCUUUUUCCAAGAUUCCUGGAUAGAUUUCAAGAUUCCACCAGGCUUGGAAAAACAUAAAAUGAAUUGUUGACAGCUUUGUGGUUGCUUUAUUUGUUUGCUCUCUAAUUUGUUUUUUUGUGUUUUUUUCCAAUGUUGUGUUUAGUGUUUAAGAUUGACCGAGACUUCAUAAUGCUCUUUGGUGAGGAAGUGUGUGGUAAAUUCCUUGCAAAAUGGCCAACAUUCUUCAAACUGAGGAUCAUCGCAGAUUGAAAAAAUCUACCUCAAAGUGCACAUGUGGAUGAGUUACUUUUGUCUGCACAACAGGAGUCUGAUGAAGAUGGUGGGGAGAAGCAUGGAGACCUUCCUCAAGGAAACUGGCCCUGCUCAGCCCUUUCUCCUGUGCGUCAGAGAAAGAAACAACAGCAUCUAGAAUUUCUACAUCGUCCUGGACCAAAAGGUCAUUCCCUGUAUGAAGCAGACCGGAGCUGGUGCCUUUUGACGAGCUCUUCGAGGUACAUUUUGUUUUUGCUGUGUCCUGGAUGAGGCGUUCUGCAACUUCUACAUAUUCAUCCAGACCACCGUGUAUGGCAUUGAUGUUGGCAGUGUGAAGGAGAGUCCUCGGGUCGAGGAAAUUAGAGCAAGAAUUCUUCGCUGUGCAGUUUGAAAAGGAACACAUCUUUGACUGGAAAUAUGUUCACAUGUUCACAUUUGCAAGGUACACCACACAAGUUGUUCAAAGUUAUUUAGACAUAUGAAGUUCCAGCUCUGUGCCCAGGAACGUCUUUACAUUUGAACUGUGGAGAGCCUGGAUGUUCAUUUGUUUUUUACACAUACUCUGGUUACAAGCGGCACUUAUCUUGAGCACAUGGAGACUAUGUUGAUUCAGAUCUCGUGAGCAAUUUUGAGUUUGAGCCUGGAGCUUCUGUUUGGCAGCCAGUAAAUGCGGAUCCUCCCGCAACUGUCACUACACACAUUUCAAUUGAAGAAAGGCAAAUACUAGACAUGUGCAGCUCUGUUACUGCUCAAGUGCAAGCCUCUGGAGUUCCAGAAAGUACUGUGCAAUUUUUAGUUGGUUCAAUGGAGGAACUGAUUAAUAACAUUUCAUGCUCAUACAAAAGAUGCUGAUGCAUCUAGAGAAACCUUAGAGAAAGUUGAGGAUUGUUUUGAGCAGCUUGAAAAUCCAUUGUCAUGUCAGAAUCUAAAAGGAUGAGAUAUUUUGAGGAAAAAUGGAAAAUAGUUGAACCUGUAGACCAUAUUCUUGGUGUGAGUUUUGAUACACGCAGAGAUAAUACAACAGGCACAAAUAGGCAAGUUCCUGUCAAUAAGUUCAUGUAUGUACCCAUCAUGGGGUCUCUUUCAUAUAUGUUUAGGAAAAGUGAGUUCUGUAACAGUUUCCAAAAAGCAAAACCACACCAGGAGGGUUUUUACAGAGAUAUAAAUGAUGGCUUCUACUUCAGGAAUCACAGUUUAUUCUCUCAACAAGAACAUGCUCUUCAGAUCCAGCUCUACUUUGAUGAUUUUGAAACUGCCAAUCCAUUAGGCUCAAAAAAGGGGAGCGCACAAACUUGGCUGUAUUUACUUUAUUUUGAGAAAUUUGCCACCAAAGCUCAAUUCUGUGUUGAUGAACAUUCAUCUUGUAGCCCUCUUUCACUCAGAGGACUUAAAAAAAUGUAAGUUUGAUCCUAUUCUAAAGCCACUUGUUGAUGACCUAAAGAUUUUAGAGACUGAUGAAUGCAGGAGCCCUUUUCAGCCACACCUGUGAAGGGUUCAGUUUUUCAGGUUACUGGUGACAACUUAGCUUUACAUGGCCUUUUUGGUUUUGUUGAAUCGUUUAGUGCAUAUUAUUGUUGUUUGAUUUUUUUUAACUGGUAAGAGAGAGUUGCAAUCAAUUUUUAGUGAUCAUCCAGGUUUAACUUUACAUUCAAAAGACCUUCAUUCAGAACACCAAAAUCCUGCUUUGGCCUCAACAUUUGGUGUCUGCUCAGUUCCCUCCAGCUGUUCCAUACUUCAGACAACUACGCAGCAGAUAUAAUGCAAUCUACUGGAAGGAGUGGUGCAAUAUGAGUUAAAGCUUGUGUUUCAGUACUUGAUUAAGAACUCCAUAUCUUUGAGUUCAUUGUCAGAGAGAGUUAUGAGCUUUAAUUAUGAAUAUACACAGAGAAACAACAGGCCGAGUGGGAUAAAACUGGAUGACAAUAGCAAAGAUCUUAGGCCUUAAUGCUGUUCAGUCAUGGUUCCUCUUACACAAUAUCCCAUUGAUGUUUGGAGAUUUAGUUUACAGGAAUGAUAGCUGUUGGAACAUCCAACUCAUCUUAAUUCAAAUCGUAAACAUUGUGUUUCCACCAAUUGCAACCCAUGGUAUGACUUGCUAUUUGAAACAUCUGAUUUUUGAUCAUCACAAGCUUUUUAAAUCUUUCUUUCCAGAACGAAAUUUGAUUCCAAAGCACCACCUAAUGAUCCAUUACCCAAGCUGUAUGAGGAAAACGAGGCCACUCAUACACAUGUGGUGCAUGUGGUUUGGAGGAAAGCACAAUUUCUUCAAAAAGUCUUUAAAAACAUCAGAAAAACACUGGUAAAGACACAUCUGAAUCAGUUGGCUCUUCAUUUUGAGAAUUUUUAUUUUAAAAGAUUGCAGUUUGGCCCCAUUACUGAAGUCAUGCAGUUUAGAGGGCAGUGAGGCGCUAAAUUAAACUUUUGAUGUGUUUUGUAAUGUUUCCACAACUUCUUGGGUUAAAAGCUAUGGCACGGAGUAUCAGGUUGGCAUGUAUGUAUGUUCUGAUGUUGAAAAUGAGAUGACUUUGUUCAAAAGGAUUGGCAGUAUAGCUAGUUGUUGGAGAUGACAACACUUAUGAUCUAACUUGUAAAGUCUCGACAAUGUAUUUUGAUGAUCAUUUAAAAGCAUUUAGUAUUGAGGAGAAAACAGAUGGCUUCACACUGAUCUGUGUAGAUGACCUGGUGUAUUACAGACCUUUUUUGUACUUAUUUGUAUGACUCCAUGCUUAACUGUUCAGUUCAUGAAUUAUGUUUGUAGUGUACCUGCCUUUUAAUACACAAUAUUUUUGUGCAAGUUGUUGUCUUGUAUUUUUUGUGACUGAUAGGUAUGUGGGGUAGGUGGUUGUGGUGGGUAUAGUGGUUGGAGGAGGCAUUGGUUGUUCACAACUUUCUACAUCCUCAGAGUUGACUGUGUUACACCCAUUAGUGUAACUUUAUUGCAGUGUAGUCUGGUGGUGUUGAUUUUC